rnacentral:miRNA from 7 species
CUCACCAGCGCAGAGUAGAGGUGCAGAAUCACCUCCCUCAACCUGCUGGCCACGCUUCUUUU